GGAUAUAGAAUCCAGGUCCUCUACCGCCCAGACCUGUGCUCUUUUCACUAGGCCUUGCUGCUUUGACUACUAGUUUAGCCCCAACGUAAUCAAAGGUAUCUAUUGAGUGCUUAUUUUGUGCUAGAGCUUGGGAGUGUACUGUACAGUUAAUAGGCACAGUCCCCCCGCUCGAGGAUCUUACAGUGCAAUGGAGGAGACUGCCAUUAAAAUAAAUUGGGAAGCAACCGAGUGUAAGGAUUUGUACUUAAAUCCUGUGGGUGUAGGGGAACGAGUACCGAAGUGCUUAGGGUGUGGGACUGAAUUUGUGGGCGAGGCAGUAGGGAGGGAAAAUAAGCACACUAUUUAGGAAUGAGAGGGUAGUCAGGGAAGGCUUCCUGGAGGAGCUAGGCUUUGAAGAUGGGGAGAGUACUGUCCUGUCUGAUAGUACAGGGAGGGAGUUCCAGUAGGACAUCGAGUAGGUUGGAAGUAGAGGGGUAAAGUAUACGGCUAGGUGUAGAGAUAGAUGGGCAGUGUUUAGAGGUACUUGAGGAGUAGAAUGGUUUUUUUUAGAAAAUGAUCUAGGCAGCAGAGGGAAGUAUGGACUGGAGAGGGGAGGGACUGGAUUCAUGCUUUAAGAGAGGAGUUGGAUGAGAUGGAAGAAAUGAAUUCUCGAGUUGUUUGUCCCAUUUCUCUCCUUCCAUUCCUUUCCAAACAGCUCCAGUGAAUUGUUUACACCUGCUGCCUCCAUUUUCUCUGCUCCAAUUGUCCCCUUGAUUCCCUGCAGUCUGGCUUUCGCUCCCUCCUCUCCACAGAAACUGCCUUCUCUAAGGUCACCGAUGACCUCCUCCUUACCAAAUCCAGCGGCCUCGACUCCAUCCUGUUCCGUCCGAUCUUUCAGCCGCCGUCAACACUGUGGACCAUCCCCUUCUCUGAGAAACAUUAACGUUGGCUUCACUGAUACCUCUGUCUCCUAUCUCUGCAAUCACUCCCUCUUGAUCUUUCUGGUGGGCUCCUCCUCCCACUCCUUAACUGUGGGAGUCCAUCAAGGCUCAGUUCUUGGUUCCCUUCUGGUCUCCCUCCUCACCCAUUAACGCCAACCAUAUGUGCAUAAACCGUUUCUUCCAACACCAUGUUACAUUGUCUCCAAACAGGCUUGUUUUAUUGGAAGAUGACUCUUACCCCAUAACAGCUGUCAAAGUGAAAUAUAUAGUGAAAACCCAUUAUGGCCACUAUCCCAAGACCACCUUCAUCUGAUCUUUUGACUGUCACCUGGAAGAUUAAAGAUAGAUUGUAUUAAUCACAGUAUCUUUAAUUUGAGUCUGUUCGCUGUAAGAUUUUAUACUACCUACAGUCUACCAUAGAGGCUGUGUCUACCCUGGGCAAGGACACUAGUUAUUUACAAUUAGUGGGGAUGGUGUUAGAGACAGAAUCCCUUUGACAGACUGCUUUUCUAAGAUCCCGAGGCUACUUUCAUCUGACCAUUUGACCGUCACCUGGAAGACUAAAGGCUCAGUUGUCUAUAUGCAGCAGCUCCUGAACUGCAGAAUUCCUUCCAGAUGUCUUCCAUCUCCUGGAACCUGACCUACAACACCUCAGCACGAGUACUAAUCUCCCAUUCCAGGCAAGCAGUGUGGCCAAUCUUUUUGGAAGUUUUUUUCGGAGGAAGGACAGCUCCCAGAAACUGGAAUUCAGCUUCUUACAGCAUGAUGAAGCCAUCUGUCAUUCCAAGCCUGCAUAUUGGCACCUUUUGCUAACACACCGGAGAAGCAGACUUCCAGAUGUUCAAGCUGAACUUUCUUCAAUUGAUCCAUUUCUUUGGAUUGCUUCACUGCAAGCUGAAAAUGAGAACAUUAAACCCAGAUGAAAUGAUGGUGUAGUUUAAGGCGUUGGUUGAUGUCUUCGUUGAGAAGCAGUAUGGCCUAGGUGGAUAGAGCUUGGGAUUGGGAAGCGGAAGA